CCUCGCAGAGAAGAUGCUUCUGGUGCUAGGAGACAGGUUGGAGAGGAUAGAUCACAGCUUCACAGGAUGAACUUGGCCAAAAGUUUGAGUUUCAUGUUAAACGGAGUGAGAAGGAAGUUCAAUACCCAGUUUCAAGCUGCGAGUCUUCUGCUAUUGAUACUCUUAAGC